UACGAAGGGGGCUAGCGUUGCUCGGAAUCACUGGGCGUAAAGGGUGCGUAGGCGGGUCUUUAAGUCAGGGGUGAAAUCCUGGAGCUCAACUCCAGAACUGCCUUUGAUACUGAGGAUCUUGAGUUCGGGAGAGGUGAGUGGAACUGCGAGUGUAGAGGUGAAAUUCGUAGAUAUUCGCAAGAACACCAGUGGCGAAGGCGGCUCACUGGCUCGAUACUGACGCUGAUGCACGAAAGCGUGGGGAGCAAACAGG
rnacentral:rRNA from 1 species